rnacentral:rRNA from 1 species
GCCUGUUUAUCAAAAACAUCGCUCCCUGAAUUAUUAAAGGUAGGGAGUCGGACCUGCCCAGUGAAAUAUUUAAACGGCCGCGGUACUCUGACCGUGCAAAGGUAGCAUAAUCAUUUGCCUUAUAACUGAAGGCUAGUAUGAAUGGUUUGACAAGAAUAAAGCUGUCUCUUCAAGAUUUAUUAGAAUUUAAUUUUUAGGUGAAGAGGCCUAAAUUAUAUUAAAAGACAAGAAGACCCUAUCGAGCUUUAAAAAAAUUAAUAGAUUUAAAUUUAAUAUUAACUAAAAAACUAACUAUUAAAAAUUUUGGUUGGGGCGACUAAGGAACAAAAAAAGCUUCCUUUAUUAUUAAAAAAUUAUAGCUGACAAGCGUUGAUCCAAAAUCUUUGAUCAAAGAAAUUAGUUACCGUAGGGAUAACAGCAUUAUCCUUUUUGAGAGUUCUUAUCGAAAAAAAGGCUUGUGACCUCGAUGUUGGACCAGAAUAUCCUAAAGAUGCAGAAGUCUUUAAGGGUUGGUCUGUUCGACCAUUAAAAUUCUACGUGAUCUGAGUUCA